UGCAGUCGAACGGUAACAGGAUGUGCUUGCACAUCGCUGACGAGUGGCGGACGGGUGAGUAAUGCUUGGGAACUUGCCUUUGCGAGGGGGAUAACAGUUGGAAACGACUGCUAAUACCGCAUAAUGUCUUCGGACCAAACGGGGCUUCGGCUCCGGCGCAAAGAGAGGCCCAAGUGAGAUUAGCUAGUUGGUAAGGUAACGGCUUACCAAGGCGACGAUCUCUAGCUGUUCUGAGAGGAAGAUCAGCCACACUGGGACUGAGACACGGCCCAGACUCCUACGGGAGGCAGCAGUGGGGAAUAUUGCACAAUGGGGGGAACCCUGAUGCAGCCAUGCCGCGUGUGUGAAGAAGGCCUUCGGGUUGUAAAGCACUUUCAGUUGUGAGGAAAAGUUAGUAGUUAAUACCUGCUAGCCGUGACGUUAACAACAGAAGAAGCACCGGCUAACUCCGUGCCAGCAGCCGCGGUAAUACGGAGGGUGCGAGCGUUAAUCGGAAUUACUGGGCGUAAAGCGCACGCAGGCGGUUUGUUAAGCUAGAUGUGAAAGCCCGGGCUCAACCUGGGAUGGUCAUUUAGAACUGGCUGACUAAAGUCUUGGA
rnacentral:rRNA from 1 species